GGCGAGUGGCGAACGGGUGAGUAAUGUAUCGGAACGUGCCUAGUAGCGGGGGAUAACUACGCGAAAGCGUAGCUAAUACCGCAUACGCCCUACGGGGGAAAGCAGGGGAUCGCAAGACCUUGCACUAUUAGAGCGGCCGAUAUCGGAUUAGCUAGUUGGUGGGGUAAUGGCUCACCAAGGCGACGAUCCGUAGCUGGUUUGAGAGGACGACCAGCCACACUGGGACUGAGACACGGCCCAGACUCCUACGGGAGGCAGCAGUGGGGAAUUUUGGACAAUGGGGGAAACCCUGAUCCAGCCAUCCCGCGUGUGCGAUGAAGGCCUUCGGGUUGUAAAGCACUUUUGGCAGGAAAGAAACGUCAUGGGCUAAUACCCCGUGAAACUGACGGUACCUGCAGAAUAAGCACCGGCUAACUACGUGCCAGCAGCCGCGGUAAUACGUAGGGUGCAAGCGUUAAUCGGAAUUACUGGGCGUAAAGCGUGCGCAGGCGGUUCGGAAAGAAAGAUGUGAAAUCCCAGAGCUUAACUUUGGAACUGCAUUUUUAACUACCGAGCUAGAGUGUGUCAGAGGGAGGUGGAAUUCCGCGUGUAGCAGUGAAAUGCGUAGAUAUGCGGAGGAACACCGAUGGCGAAGGCAGCCUCCUGGGAUAACACUGACGC
rnacentral:rRNA from 1 species